rnacentral:rRNA from 1 species
GGUCAAAUCAUCAUGCCUCUUACAUCUAGGGCUACAGGCGUGCUACAAUGGCCAAUACAACGGGUCGCAAUACGGUGACGUAAAGCUAAUCCCUUAAAGUUGGUCUCAGUCCGGAUUGGAGUCUGCAACUCGACUCCAUGAAGUUGGAAUCGCUAGUAAUCCCGAAUCAGAAUGUCGGGGUGAAUACGUUCCCGGGUGUU